rnacentral:rRNA from 1 species
AGAACGAACGCUGGCGGCGUGCCUAAUACAUGCAAGUCGAACGAGAAAGUGGCUUCGGUCAUGAGUAAAGUGGCAGACGGGUGAGUAAUACAUAGGUAACCUUCCCUCAAGAUGGGGAUAACCUUCCGAAAGGAGGGCUAAUACCGAAUGAGACCACAAAUACCCCGGUACUAGGGGUUAAAGAUGGCCUCUACUUGUAAGCUAUCGCUUGAGGAUGGGCUUAUGCACCAUUAGCUUGUUGGUGAGGUAACGGCUCACCAAGGCUCUGAUGGUUAACUGAUCUGAGAGGUUGAUCAGUCACACUGGAACUGAGACACGGUCCAGACUCCUACGGGAGGCAGCAGUAGGGAAUAUUGCGCAAUGGAGGAAACUCUGACGCAGCGACGCCGCGUGGGUGAGUGAAGGCUUUCGGGGUCGUAAAGCCCUGUCGACAGGGACGAAGACGUAGUGGCUAAUAUCCAUUACGAGUGACGGUACCUGUAGAGGAAGCACCGGCUAA